AUAUAAGCAAAAAAUUACAUUUUAGAUUCAUUCAUUUAAUGAUGUACAUGGUCUUUAUUAUAGACCACAUACAUCAUUAAAUGAAUGAACCUAAAAUGUAGUUUUUUUGCUUAUAU
rfam:Medicago truncatula strain A17 chromosome 6, whole genome shotgun sequence.